rnacentral:rRNA from 1 species
AGCGACAGGCCUAACACAUGCAAGCGAGGGGCAGCACAGGAGCAAUCUGAGUGGCGACGGCGCACGGGUGAGUAACACGUAUGCAACCUGCCUGUAAGACGGGGAAUAACCCGUUGAAAGACGGACUAAUACCGCAUUAAUACUAAAUUACUGCAUGGUAAUUUAUUUAAACAUUUAUGGCUUACAGAUGGGCAUGCGCAUGAUUAGCUAGUUGGAGAGGUAACGGCUCCCAAGGCAACGAUCAUUAGGGGUUCUGAGAGGAAGGUCCCCACACUGGUACUGAGACACGGACCAGACUCCUACGGGAGGCAGCAGUGAGGAAUAUUGGUCAAUGGACGAGAGUCUGAACCAGCCAAGUCGCGUGCAGGAAGAAUGUCCUUAAUGGAUUGUAAACUGCUUUUGCAGGGGAAUAAAGUGCAUCACGUGUGAUGUUUUGUAUGUACUCUGCGAAUAAGGAUCGGCUAACUCCGUGCCAGCCGCUGC